rnacentral:misc_RNA from 1 species
AACGCACAUUGCGCCCCUUGGUAUUCCGAGGGGCAUGCCUGUUCGAGCGUCAUUACACCACUCAAGCACCGCUUGGUAUUGGGCAUCGUCCGUCGAAAGGCGGGCGUGCCUCGAAGACCUCGGCGGGGUUUCUCCAACUUCGGGCGUAGUAGAGUUAAAUCAAAACGUCUUAUAAGCUUGGUGAGAUCUCAUUGCCGUUAAACCUUUUAUUUUUUCAGGUUGACCUCGGAUCAGGUAGGGAUACCCGCUGAACUUAA